rnacentral:rRNA from 1 species
GAUGAACGCUGGCGGCGUGCCUAAUACAUGCAAGUCGAGCGAACAGACGAGGAGCUUGCUCCUCUGACGUUAGCGGCGGACGGGUGAGUAACACGUGGAUAACCUACCUAUAAGACUGGGAUAACUUCGGGAAACCGGAGCUAAUACCGGAUAAUAUAUUGAACCGCAUGGUUCAAUAGUGAAAGACGGUUUUGCUGUCACUUAUAGCUGGAUCCGCGCCGCAUUAGCUAGUUGGUAAGGUAACGGCUUACCAAGGCGACGAUGCGUAGCCGACCUGAGAGGGUGAUCGGCCACACUGGAACUGAGACACGGUCCAGACUCCUACGGGAGGCAGCAGUAGGGAAUCUUCCGCAAUGGGCGAAAGCCUGACGGAGCAACGCCGCGUGAGUGAUGAAGGUCUUCGGAUCGUAAAACUCUGUUAUUAGGGAAGAACAAAUGUGUAAGUAACUAUGCACGUCUUGACGGUACCUAAUCAGAAAGCCACGGCUAACUACGUG